AUCUUCAGGGCAGGGUGAUCAUGCAUAACAGCAGGAAAUUCCCUACCGGUGGUACAGCCCACGAGCCGUAAGGCAUGAUUCGGUGAGAUUCCGAAGCCGACAGUAUAGUCUGGAUGAAAGAAGAUG
rnacentral:ncRNA from 1 species